rnacentral:tRNA from 1 species
GGGCGCUUAGCUCAGCGGUAGAGCGCCUCGCUUACACCGAGGAUGCCGGGGGUUCGAAUCCCUCAGCGCCCA